UGUUAAUUUACCAUAUUUUUUGCUACCAUUUCCAUACUGAAAAUUAAGUGUUAUGCCCUUGAGCUGAGAACAGAGGUGCUAUCUCUCUUGAGACGCAUCCAUAAGGGGAUGAAAAGGGAGGCUUAGUCAUAGCGGAAUUAGAGCAAGUAGUCUCCCCCCAAUUAGUUAAGUGUUCACAGCUGUGAAUUGGGUUGCGUGUGACGUCAUCCGAGGGUGCUUGUUUUCCUCGGCUCGGCGGCGGCGGUGGUUCUCGAUGGGAUGGAUGAUGGGCUGUGCUUUGGGUAUGUCGCACGGUAAAUCGAUUUGAGUUUCGUAUCGUUAUGCAACGUGAGAGCAGGAAGCGCUGUGGUGGCAUUGUGUGAUAAAUACUGUCUUUUGGUUGAGUAACUGUCGUCGCAGUCAGAGAUGUUUUGCAUGUUUCGGUAUAAGGAAUGUUAACUCGGAAGAAGAUGAUGAUUGCAAAUUUUUGUGUUGUGGACAAUGUGGUUAACUGUCAAAGAAUUCACAACAAUAAGGGAAUGAAUUUGGGAAGAGCAACACUUGGGCAGCCAUUCUAAUUUGGAUACUUUUUAAGAACAUCUCAAUCAUAUUCGAACUUAACGACAUAACUUAAAAUUUAAACGAUUAGAGAAGCUCAAAACAUAGUAAUAAUAAUUUCAGUGGGGAAAUGUAGUUAGUCAGCAGCAAAGUUCAAAACCAGCUGUAAUAAAAAAUAAAUCAUGGCAGAUACCCUUUUCCGUUAAAAUCUGGUCAGAACACAAGUUAUCACUUUUGUUGCGGUCUUCAUGCUGACUUGAAAAUGCAAUAUGUUAUCCCUAGCAGCCCUUCCCAACACAUAGUGGGCUUUAAAUCGACUAUGUUUUGGGAAGACUACUAACCUUUUUAUCAUCUCCAUUUUUAAGAGUUUUAAUCUUAGAGCAACUUCUUCACUACCAGAUUCUUAAAUGUACCAUUGUAAAACCGAAAUUCUUUCUUUAAGAUUUUUCGUUGGUUGUGAGAUCUUUCUGCACAUGGCUUAAGACCAUUACUGUAAAUUCAAAAAAUUCAGUGAUGGUAAUUUUUUUAUUGUUCUCUGGUUAGAAAUAUAAAACUAUAAAAAGCUUAUCCAGUACUUGAUUACAGAUUUGAGCAACCAUUUUAAGAUUAAUUUUUAGAUAUUUUGCGAUACAGGAGAGAUACUAUGUAGUUGGGUUCCUGUCAGGAUUAUCAGUGAAGUUCUUGAAGGGAUAUUGCCGAUUUCUUGUAGAAAUUAGGUGUUGUAAUCAUCUUUACCAGAUAUUUGCAGAAAUCGUUUUCCUAAAGAGAUGAUUUGUUCUCUGGGUAUCUACUAUCUUGAAAAACCAGGAAUCCUCUGGGAAUUUUAUUUAACAAAGGAAAACCUGGAAUACUCACAGAAUUUUUUUUUUUAACCAAUAAAACAUUGUAGAUCUACUCAAAAGGAAAAUCUACAGCGUUUACUGCAUUGUUGGUACAAAUAAACAAGUUUUCGAGUAUGUGUAGUAUAUACUUUUUUUGAACAUGAGUUUUCACUACAUACUUGUAGUAAGAACUGUCAAAACAAAUAUUUUAUCUAUACUACUGGGGUUCUUACUAAAAGCUUAUAGUUCCAUGAAAACGCUGAAGAUUGAUUAUUAGAGAACCAUAUUAAAUCAAAAAGGAAUCUAGAUAAUCGUGCUAGUGGAACAAGAGUAGUGUUUCUAGAUCUAGUAGAUACAUCCGGUUAUCCGACGAUUUCGAUAAGAUACUGCAAAAUUCAUGUGGACACGAAUGAAUGUAGCAGUUAAAAUCCAUCUAGAAAUUCCCCAAAGAAAUUCCGACGGAGUUUAAUUCUGGAACUUCUUAAGUAAUACCUCUUGGGAUGCAUUCCAAGAUGUCUCACAAGAUUCCUUUCUUUUUUUUUGCGCCAGUUUUCUUCGUAAUCAUUUUUGAAUUCCUCCCGGAAAUUCUUCCGGAUUCUUCCUUGAGAAGCUUCCAGAAUUCUGUAAUUGCGAUUUCUUCUGGAAUUUUUCCCGAGAAUCCUACAGAAUUUCUUCCGUAGGGUUUUCUGGUAUUCAUCCCAGAGUCCCUCGUUGGAUUUUCCCCCGAGUUCUUCUUGCGUUUUCCCCAAAGAAAUAUUCGCGGGAAGUCUUCCAUGAUUUAUGCCGAAAUCUCCAUAAGAGUUUCUAUUAGAAUACCUCUCAGAUGUUGUUGCGGAAGCUUUCCGAGAGCUUUUCACGGGAUUUCUCUUGAAAACUUUCCAUGAAUGUUCCAGCAAUCUUCCAGAGUUUUAACAGGAGUUAUUUUUGGGAUUUUUACUAAAGCUCCUCCGAGGAUUUCUUAAAAAGGUUUUCCACAAACUUUCUGCAGGAUUCCUCCCAAGAUUUCGCACGAAAUUUUUCUUAUAAUUUUUUUUAUUAGCUUUAUUCAAGAGUCCCAUUCUGUGAUGUCUCCCAAAGUUUUUUCUGGACUUUCUCCUAAAAUUUUCUCCGGAUCGCCUUUGGUAUUUCCUGGCUUUUUUUUUCUCGUAGCUGUUUACGGUAUUUUUUGCAGUGAUUCUCCUGAGGUUUUUUUCUUAGAUUUUCUCGUGAUUAUUCCCAGAACUCUUCCCGGAAUCCCCACUGGAAAUUGUCCAGGGAUUCUGGGUGCUUAUUCUGGGAUUUUUUUAAAAGUGACUUCGGAGUUCUUGCAGAGAUUUUCCAGGAGCGUUUUUUUUUUCAAUGUUUACAAAAUCUCGAGAGGAACUUUUGGAAAUCCUGGGAAAAUCUGGGACAACUCAGAAAAAGUUGUGGGAGAUAACCCGGGAGGAAAUAUUGAAAAAAAAAAUCAAGUUGCAAACCUCUAAGAUAAAUCCCGAGAGUAAAUCUAAGAGAAAUGUCGGAUAACUCUCUGAAAGAAAUCCCUGGAAGAACUUCUUCAAGAAUUACGCAAAAAUCCCGAGAGAAUUUAUUGGAAAGCUAUCCCGGAAAACCACUAAGGGAAAUUUCUGAAGGAACUUCAAAUAAAUUUUGGGAGGAUCUCCGGAAGGAAUCCAUAAUCAUUCUAAAUCAUCCAACGUUUCGACCCUUGGUUCGGGCCUUCAUCAGGGUAGUCUAAAUUUUGGAUUGUUUCAUUAUCAUUUCACAUUUGUUAUGAGGCUGAACAUUUUUCGCAAAAAAAUAAUAAGGAUACCGCUAUAUGUUUGUCGCCUUGUUGCUUGGUUAAAUGAAUUACAGAUGGUUUAUUACCUUCGGGCUUCAGUGAAUGCUUUGAAGAAACUCUGGUAUAUCGUUGUAGUAAUUCCUUGCUCAUUUGCUAGAAAAAUCAUGUGAUUAUUGCGGACCUGAGAGCGGACCAGCAGUUGCAUGUGUUCGUUCUUGAUGACCCAUCAACUAUGCGUAAUUAUGACGGUUAGAUGUGGUCUAUUCAAAUUGGCUUUUGAGUUUCAAUUACCGAAAUAUAUAUGACACAUUCCACCGUGACGCUACAGUGCACUGUUUUGAAGCUCUGAUGGCCAAAUUUUCCACUAUGUAUAGCUCAGAAAUGAGACUGUGAAUCUCAAAUAUUUUUUGCAAUAAAUAUGAUCUGUUGGACAUUUUGUUUCCACUGGGAAAGUUUAUGCCAAAUGGGAAUUUGUAGCGUGUCGUUACAACGUUGUCUACCAGGACUUCCGUCCAUACACACAUUUUGAAAUUGGUUCGGAGCGUCGACACAUGAUGGAUUUGCUGGAUGAUUUCAUGGAGAAAUUCAUAAAACAAUGAGUAGUUGUGUUUCUGGAGAAAAUCUUAACAAAAGUUGGAAUAACUAUAGAUAUUUCUGAUUAAAAUAAGGUCUUUCUGAGGCCUUGGAGAAGUUUUCAGUAAAUUUCUUAGGUAAUGUGCUGUAGUAGUCCUCAAUGGGCGAACAUUCUGGUGCAGAAAUCUCAGGACAUCUGUGCAAUUCAUGGAGAAUUCUUAAUUAAAUUGACGGUGAUGGAAUCCCUGUAAUCCCUGGACAAACAUCUAGUGCAAUCUUUGGAAUCUCUGCUUAACUUUCUGGGGGAAUAUUUGGAAAGAUUCUAGGGUUUUCUAUGCAAUCCUUGGAACUUUGGAUUACUAGUGCAACCACCAUUGGAAGAUAAUUUUGAUAAAAUAAUAAGUACAAUUUAGAUGAAAUAAAAAGGCAAAAGGUUAUUGCAACCAUUGCAAAGAACAUCCAAUAGACGACUUCAGAAAUGUUUAAGUGGGCAAAACUACGUUUCGAACAUUAAAUCCAAACCAUAGACUUAUGUUAUAAUAAAGUAUCUUGUCUCGAAUUUCUUUUUUUGUAAAAUUUUGUGGGCAACCCCUUAAAUUUCGCUUGUAAUAUCAUUCAUUGCUGAGAACUUCGUAUAGUUGAUCAGUUUUAAUGUCUUCAGUCAUUAGACGCAUGUUGUAAAAAUGCAUGGUUUCAUUACUUGCUUCAAGAUGGACAGCUUUACAUGCGGACAGUAUUACAUGCUAUUUAUUUGUACCGUGGGGUGAUUCCUUAAAAAAAUAAAAACUUAAUGUCUCCUAGAACCGAUACCGACCUGGCGUUUACUUCAAAACAAAUUUUCGCCGAAAUUGAAAAAAAAAAGUUGAAUUAUUGUAUAAUGAAAUAUCGCUUUAAAAGCAACGUGAGUAGCAAUAAAUAAUACGAAACACGAGCCUCCUUUUUGGACGCUGAAUGUUUUUCUCUAAACGUCUAAAGAAGCAAAAAAAAACAGGAUCAAAUAAGUUCACCAAAAAUAAAACUACUUGACAUUUUACCCAGCAGAUGAAAUCAAAAGUCGUUUGAUCAGAUCUCUGCAGCCAACAAAUCUCGUAUAGGAACCGGUUGUGACACAACCGAAUUGACCGCGGCCAUGAAAUUGAUCUUUAUAUUUUGCAAUCCUUUCUUUCCUGUUCCUUCUAAAAAUAGAAAACUUAAUUAGAUGCGAAGCUUUAAUGAUAACAUGGCAUCCAAUUUCCUAUGUUUGUUCUAUCAAACUGGAACUGGAUCCACAUUCAAGUAAGUGUCUUGGGAAUAUUCUUCCAAGAAGUUUUGUUGCAUUUUGUUGGUUUCUUCAAAACGACUUCGAAAAGCUUGUCAUUAAAAACAUGGAAAACUUCAACAAUGCAUUUACAGGAUGGAACCAGAACCUUUAUCCAAGCAAUAUCCAUCUAACCAUAAACAAGUUACAACCAAUUACAUAAUAAACAAGUUAGAUAUGUUUUAAAACACCUAACCAAAAGGGCCAAUCACCUUUCAUAUAUUAGGGAACCUGUUCCCAAGAUUGCUCCGAACCUCCAAUCGAUACGUAACCACUGACCAGCAACACCAUGCCAAGCCCAGAGGGACAGUAAAUCGCCUUCGUUCAAUUCUUUAAAAAAAAAACAAAA